rfam:Eimeria maxima Weybridge genomic scaffold, Emw_scaff273
GCUCCCGUGGCUCAGUUGGUUAGAGCGUUGGUCUUAUGAACCGAAGGUCAUGGGUUCGAUCCCCAUCGGGAGCA